rnacentral:tRNA from 1 species
GCCCGGUUAGCUCAGUCGCUAGAGCACCAGACUCUUAGUCUGGCUGUCACGGGAUCGAGCCCCCGCUUCAGGCU